GUGCACAUUUCAUUGACCUGCUUUCUUCUAUCUGUGUGAGCAGUCUUAUUUUUAUGUGCUAUACAAACAGAUGAAGGUUCGAACAUUAGCAGUAUAUCUAAAUAGUUGUGCUUCCAUGCUGCCAGUCUCCUUCAGAUAGUU
ensembl:snoRNA